GCCGGGCGCGGUGGCGCGCGCCUGUAGUCCUAGCUACUCGGGAGGCUGAGGCAGGAGGAUCGCUUGAGUCCAGGAGUUCUGGGCUGCAGUGCGCUAUGCCGAUCGGGUGUCCGCACUAAGUUCGGCAUCAAUAUGGUGACCUCCCGGGAGCGGGGGACCACCAGGUUGCCUAAGGAGGGGUGAACCGGCCCAGGUCGGAAAAUGGAAAAUGGUUCUGUUCAAUUAUUCAAAGGAUUUCAAUAAGGACCUGUAUGCAGUACUGACGAACAAUUUCUUGCUUCA
rnacentral:sRNA from 1 species